GACGAACGCUGGCGGCGUGCUUAACACAUGCAAGUCGAACGGAAAGGCCCUGCUUUUGUGGGGUGCUCGAGUGGCGAACGGGUGAGUAACACGUGAGUAACCUGCCCUUGACUUUGGGAUAACUUCAGGAAACUGGGGCUAAUACCGGAUAGGAGCUCCUGCUGCAUGGUGGGGGUUGGAAAGUUUCGGCGGUUGGGGAUGGACUCGCGGCUUAUCAGCUUGUUGGUGGGGUAGUGGCUUACCAAGGCUUUGACGGGUAGCCGGCCUGGGGGGGUGACCGGGCCACAUGGGGCCGGGAUGCGGGCCCAGACGCCUCCGGGGGGGAGAGGGGGGAAUUUUGGACAAAGGGGCGGAGGCUGGUGCAACAAACCCGGGGGGGGGGAGGACGCCUUUGGGGUGUAAAACCGCUUUCGCUGGUGAGGAGGGGGAGGGGAGGGUAAUGGGAAAAGAAGCACGGGUAAACUACGG
rnacentral:rRNA from 1 species